rnacentral:rRNA from 1 species
CUACGGGCUGCACCAGUGGGGAAUAUUGCACAAUGGAGGAAACUCUGAUGCAGCAACGCCGCGUGGAGGAUGACACUUUUCGGAGCGUAAACUCCUUUUAUAUAGGAAGAAGAUGACGGUACUAUAUGAAUAAGCGCCGGCUAACUCCGUGCCAGCAGCCGCGGUAAUACGGAGGGCGCAAGCGUUACUCGGAAUCACUGGGCGUAAAGAGCGUGUAGGCGGAUUAAAAAGUCAGAAGUGAAAUCCUAUAGCUUAACUAUAGAACUGCUUCUGAAACUCUUAAUCUAGAAUAUGGGAGAGGUAGAUGGAAUUACUGGUGUAGGGGUAAAAUCCGUAGAGAUCAGAAGGAAUACCGAUUGCGAAGGCGAUCUACUAGAACAUUAUUGACGCUGAGACGCGAAAGCGUGGGGAGCAAACAGGAUUAGAUACCCGAGUAGUC